UUUAUGCACGUAACACAUCCCAGGUAAGUGUAAUUGACAUUGUGUUAUGUUAUGACAAAGUUUUUUUUUUUGUCGCAGUUAAAGUUGGAAUCACAAAAAGGAUUAGAAAGCUAUAGAAUCAGUUAUACCUAGAAGUUUGCUUCAAUAAGAUUGUCGGUAGAGUACAUAAAUAAUAUGGAUUUAGCGUAGAUAAGAUGCAGGGUCGUUGCCGCGCGUGGAGGAGCAACGAAUUGCGCGCCAAACAGGGAAUCGAGGAAAAUUAAAGGCACAACUCAGUACCGACAGUACCUUCGAUAAUGACGCGAGGGAAGCUGAACGGCAGUGGAGUCCGUUAAUUUGGCAAGUGCUCUACAGACCUCAAGACGCAGGGACCGUCAAGUAAUCGAAAACGGCGAAUAUGCGAGAGAUUAUCGCCUGGCGGCAUCGCGUAAGGAUUACAACGCAACGUCUUUAAAAGUCACCACCGGCGGAUUUCUUGAAUUAUGGGACAAGG